rnacentral:rRNA from 1 species
UACAGGGGGCGCGAGCGUUGCUCGGAAUUACUGGGCGUAAAGCGUACGCAGGCGGACUGCAAAGUCGGAUGUGAAAUCCCGAGGCUCAACCUCGGAACUGCAUUCGAUACUGGCAGUCUAGAGUACGAGAGAGGUGGGUGGAAUUCCUGGUGUAGAGGUGAAAUUCGUAGAUAUCAGGAGGAACACCGGUGGCGAAAGCGGCCCACUGGCUCGAUACUGACGCUCAUGUACGAAAGCGUGGGGAGCAAACAGG